rnacentral:lncRNA from 1 species
GCACUUCAUAGUCUCCGACGCACCUCCAAACCCUUUCUCCUGCUCUAGGCCCAGCGCCUUGGACGUGCACAGUAGAUCCCUCCCGGCUUCCCGGCUUCCCGUCUCGUCACCCUCUGUUUACAUGAGCUGGUGAAACAUGAAGAAAAUGGCCUGGUCUUUGAGGACUCAGAGGAACUGGCAGCUCUGCAGAUGCUUUUCUCAAACUUUCCUGAUCCUGCAGGCAAGCUAAACCAGUUUUGGAAGAACCUGCGGGAGUCGCAGCAGCUCCGAUGGGAUGAGAGCUGGGUGCAGACUGUGCUCCCUUUGGUUAUGGACAUACAACUCCUGGGCCAGAGGCUAAAACCCCGGGACCCCUGCUGUCCUUCCCGCAGCUUCUUCUCGGAGUCUCAGGGCAAACCCUUUUGAGCAGCGCCUCCCAGUGGCCAGAAGCUGAAAUGACGGCAGUGGUGCCGCCUGGUGAAUGAAUUGGUUCUGUGACCCGG